AAUUCUCAACCUCAAAAGCUUUUUUGUUUCUGAGGCUUGGAUGUGGAGGCUUUUUUUGCUGGCUUGCUUUUUAGAGUCAGCUCCUCUCAAAUGCAUUAGUGGAAACCUGUUUGUAGUCCGCGUUGGUGUGAUAAUUAUCUGCGCCAUUGUAUUCGUGGCUACAGCUCUUGUGGUGUUCGUUUGGAAAGCUGCAUGAACUUGCUCUUUCUGUUCUGAUUGACCUGCGAGAGAGUAUAUGGUAUUCGCUUCAAACCGUCCUAAGUCGCUGGACAACCUUUGACUA
rnacentral:misc_RNA from 1 species